UACAGAGGUCUCAAGCGUUGUUCGGAUUCAUUGGGCGUAAAGGGCGCGUAGGCGGCGGGGUAAGUCUGGUGUGAAAUCUCGGAGCUCAACUCCGAAAUUGCACUGGAUACUGCUCUGCUUGAGGGUUGGAGAGGAGAUCGGAAUUCACGGUGUAGCAGUGAAAUGCGUAGAUAUCGUGAGGAACACCAGUGGCGAAGGCGGCUCACUGGCCCGAUACUGACGCUGAGGCACGAAAGCGUGGGGAGCAAACAGG
rnacentral:rRNA from 1 species